rnacentral:sRNA from 1 species
AAUGAUUUGGUUGCAUUUGGUGGUGGUGGAAGUUCUGCUUUAUGCUUAGAUGAAGAUUUGUUAACUGGAACCAGUGGACCAUGUGAUACAUUUGGAAACAUGUGUUUGGCUCAUACAUCAGAAUUUGAAUUGAAGAACGUUGAGUUGUGGGGUUUCAGAUAUACUUCUCCUUACCUUAGUCAACAUUAAGAUGAGCACAAUGAAGUCCUUAAGCAGUGAGAUAUUAAAAAGAACAGAUUGCAAUCGCAAUAUCAUUGUUUAAUGGUUGGAUGGGUUUACUUUUAAUUAG